AACGAACGCUGGCGGCGUGGAUAAGACAUGCAAGUCGAACGAGACUACUUUUGGUAGCAAUACUAAGAGUAGUUUAGUGGCGAACGGGUGCGUAACACGUGGGCAAUCUGCCUUAAAGUGGGGGAUAGCUCGGCGAAAGCCGAAUUAAUACCGCAUAUGAUCAGCUAAGACAUCUCAGCGAAAUCAAAGCCGGGGCAACCUGGCGCUUUUUGAGGAGCCCGCGGCCUANCAGCUAGUUGGUGAGGUAACGGCUCACCAAGGCUUUGACGGGUAGCUGGUCUGAGAGGACGACCAGUCACACUGGAACUGAGACACGGUCCAGACACCUACGGGUGGCAGCAGUCGAGAAUUUUUCUCAAUGGGGCAACCCUGAAGGAGCGACGCCGCGUGGAGGAUGAAGGC
rnacentral:rRNA from 1 species